AUACGGAGGGUGCGAGCGUUGUUCGGAAUUAUUGGGCGUAAAGCGCGUGUAGGCGGUUUGUUAAGUCUGAUGUGAAAGCCCCGGGCUCAACCUGGGAAGUGCAUUGGAUACUGGCAGACUUGAAUACGGGAGAGGGCAGUGGAAUUCCUGGUGUAGGAGUGAAAUCCGUAGAUAUCAGGAGGAAUACCAGUGGCGAAGGCGGUCAUCUGGCUUGUCAUUGACGCUUAAGCACGAAAGCGUGGGUAGC
rnacentral:rRNA from 1 species